AUCAGGACCACUCAGCUACAUUUCAGUAGCAGUGCAGAAAUGGAUCUAGCAGCUCCUCUUUAAAAUGUGGGGAUACCUAUCAUCUAAUGUUCCCAACUUUGAGGCGUUAGCUGAAAUCUUGAGAUAACAAAAGUCUCAUUCCACAUUCUGUUGCUAAAAAUAAUAAUAGCGAUGAUAAUGGUAAUAGUAACAAUAUUAGCUAACAUUUAGAACUAUGGGCCAGACAUUGCUCUAAACACUUUAAAUUUACUAAAUAUUUCACUCUCUAACAACCCCAUCAGGUUGUGUCUCCACUUGCAGAUGCAGAAACUGAGGCACAGAAAACUUAAACAACUUGCCUAAGUUUGUACAACUAGUAAGUGGCAGAUCUGCAAUUCAAAGGAUAAUAAGACCUACCUCACACAGUGAUUGGGAAGAUGAUAAAGAUGAAGACUCUGGAACCAGCCCUGAUGCAUGAACGACUUUAGAUCAUAUUUCUAAUGUGCUGGCAGCUCCCCAUCCCAGAAGGAUUUUCAC
rnacentral:lncRNA from 1 species